rnacentral:rRNA from 1 species
UACGUAGGGAGCAAGCGUUGUCCGGAAUCAUUGGGCGUAAAGCGCGUGUAGGCGGCCCGGAAAGUCUGGUGUGAAAUCUUGGGGCUCAACCCCAAGCUGUCACUGGAUACUGUCGGGCUUGAGUCCGGAAGAGGAGUGUGGAAUUCCUGGUGUAGCGGUGGAAUGCGCAGAUAUCAGGAGGAACACCUAUGGCGAAGGCAGCACUCUGGUACGUGACUGACGCUGAGACGCGAAAGCGUGGGGAGCAAACAGG